rnacentral:lncRNA from 1 species
GCUGGAGCGGGGAGCGGGGGGCUCGGAGCUGUUCGGCCCCUCCAGCAGCCUCACGCUCCCGGUGACCCACGUUGGGAGGGGGGGUUUCUUUCUGGAGAGAGGGAAUGACCACACCGUGGGGGGAGGAAUCAACAGCUGGAGCUCGCAGAGACCCCCGGCUCACCCCUCUCGGGCAACCCAGGGUUAAAAACCCGGUGCCACGGCCCCUGCCAAGGCCAAGGAUAUCACACCUGGACACGGAUGCGACCAAAGCCACCGGGAUUUCCGAGCUGCAGCAGCGCUUCCCACUCGCCCCCCUCCGCAGGAGCCUCCCCGGCCGUAGCGGGGGCUGCAGCAGCCGGGGACGGCUGCGGGCUCGGGGACAGCCCCACCCACGGCCACGGGUGGAGGAGGGCCCAGGGAGGGAGCUCAUCCCUUGGCAGCCGCGGCAGCGGCGAAAUGGAGAGGGCGGCAGGGGAAGAGUGGGGCUGGGGGGUCGUGGGGCAACUCGGGGACCGGUCUGGUGCUUUCCACAGCGGCCCCGUUACCGGGGCUCCUCCCUGAGGCUUCCCGGGGCGGGAAGAGGCACCGAUCCCACGCCGGGGGAUCCCAGCUCCCGGUCCCAGGCAGCCGUCGGGGCUCGAUCUCCGCCUGGGAUCUCCGGGAAGAGGGGGCUCCAGAGCCCAGACCCGCGGGCCUGGGGAGGCUCUCGGGCUCCCAGCUGCCGUUCCGAAUGCUCUAAGGAAGGCGGUGGAUCCUGGCGGGGUCCUUGCCCCCGGCCCCACGUUCCCUUUGGGACAGCGGCACGUACCAUCCCUCCCUGCUCCCCACGGCUUCCAGGCCCUGGGAUGGAAACGCGCGAGGAAUUUCGCGGGACAUUUGCCACCGGCUGCAGCGCAAAUCCCGGAUUCUGGAAGGUUUCCCAGUGCUGCCGAGCAGGCGACACACCGUGACAGGAUGAGCAGCAAAGAAGACCCGAGCAAGUGCUGUCCGGCGGCUGCUCCCAUCUCCAGUUUCACCAUCCAGUCCAUCC